AUGAACGCUGGCGGCGUGGAUAAGGCAUGCAAGUCAAGGGGGCCCGCAAGGGCAACCGGCAAACGGGGUAGUAACAGGUGGGAACGUACCUAGAAGUCAGGAAUAACCUGUCGAAAGACAGGCUAAUACCCGAUAGUCUCCAAGGAGUAAAGCUCCGGCGCUUCUAGAACGGCCCGCCCGCUAUCAGCUAGUUGGUAAGGUAAUGGCUUACCAAGGCGUAGACGGCUAGGGGAGGUGAGAGCCUGACCCCCACCACUGGGACUGCGACACUGCCCAGACACCUACGGGUGGCUGCAGUCGAGAAUCUUCCGCAAUGCACGAAAGUGUGACGGAGCGACGCCGCGUGAUUGAUGAAGCUCUUCGGAGUGUAAAGAUCUUUUAUGAGGGAAGAAGUUUAUUGACGGUACCUCAUGAAUAAGGGGCUGCUAACCUCGU
rnacentral:rRNA from 1 species